rnacentral:rRNA from 1 species
UACGUAGGGAGCGAGCGUUAUCCGGAAUUACUGGGUGUAAAGGGAGCGUAGGCGGAUAUGCAAGUUGAAUGUGGAAUUUAUGGGCUUAACCCAUAAACUGCGUUCAAAACUGUAGAUCUUGAGUGAAGUAGAGGCAGAUGGAAUUCCUAGUGUAGCGGUGGAAUGCAUAGAUAUUAGGAGGAACGCCAGUGGCGAAAGCGAUUUGCUGGGCUUUAACUGACGCUGAGGCUCGAAAGCAUGGGGAGCAAAC